UGUCAUCGGGCUCUGGGGAGGGUGGAGCUGCUGUGCGUUGCCAAGACAUAAUGCAAAAGCCCUGUGGGUGGCAUAAUGUAGUAUUCAUCUCUCCCACCACGCAGAGAGGGGGCAGGCAGAACAAUCCAGACUCUGUCAGCAAGGGGAGUUUAGGUCUUGCUAAGGAAAAUGGGGUUCAAAAAGGUGACCUUGAUAGGAGAUUAUACUUUGUGCAGGGAAAUCUGGACAAAAAACUUGGGCGUCAAUGCCACGUUUCUCCAAAAGAGUAAACAUUGACCCCGCAUCUACACACACCAUCAUUUUGAGCCAGCCUCCUGUAGGUUGCUACUGAGCCACAGGCUAGUAGUUAGCUGCAAGACAAAUGUCUAACAGAGCCCAUCGAGCCUUACCUGCCUUUCUGACAUGAUGUAGAGCUGCUCGUGGUCCUUGGAGAAAGCCAUGUCCCGGAGGAUGGGGCCAGGCUCCACCACCUGCACAGUCUCAUACUGGAGAGCAUUGCCCCUGGGGCCAUCCACCCGGAUCUGUGGAAAAGAGAAAAGGAAAGUUGAGAAAACUGAAGGAAAGCAUUCAUUCAUCCAUCUGCUGAAAAAUUCUCAGACAAGACAGGAGCCUCUGAUGGGAUUUGCCAAAGGAUGGAUAAUUAUGAACUGUAUGUAGGUCUGGCUGCUUACAUGAACAACAACAACAUGAAUCACUAAUGAUUGAGGGGUUACUGUGAGUUGGGUGUGAUGCCAGGCAUUCUACAGUAUUUGUCUUCUUAUUAAAAUCUCAUCACUCCGUGAAGUAGCACUAAUAUUCAC